GGCAAUUUUGUAUGAAAAUAUGACUCUUUGCGUUGAACUGUACACCUAAAUACCAUCAACGACCCCAGAGCAUAUUGUCCUUUGGCGCUGACGUUACCGCUGUGCGCGCGCCACUGCGUCUCCUCGCGGGCUUUCCGCGCUGGGCGGGUCUGGAGCGGUUUCACGUUUCCAUGGCAACCAAGACGCUCCUGUCAAUCAAGGCGCAAGCACAAAAAGUCAAGUUCAGCAUCGAGAAACCACAAUGAAUCAGAGAGAGAUGCAGAGGACACAGAUGGACGUCUUUACACCGACCCACAACUCAAAAUGAGUCUGUGUGAACUUGACGAUUUGUCUCCUAAACGGGACCACUGUGACCUUCUGCUAGAUGCCAUUGAUGCUCAACUGGGUCAGCUGCAGGUUCAGUCCUCAAUACAUCAGAUGGUUUCCAAGGAGACUGAUUGCAGUGCUGCUGCUUGUCUCAGGUGGAGUUAUCCUGUGAGCAAAGACACAGGCCUGGGAAGCACCCGCUCAAAUGACACUACCAUGUCUUGUCUUGAUUUGAAACCCCCAACGGUGAUGCAUUUAUCAGAGAAAAGCUGUGACAGUCUGUUUGUGAAAAGGGGAACCAAAAAUAGGUUAAAUAGACAAGCAAAAGGCAAAGAGGACAUGGAGUCUCGGCGGGAGCAGGUCAUCUGGAGACUAGAAAAGCUGCUUGGUGAUGCCUGUAGUGAGGACGGGUUGGCAAGAGAAAUGCCGCCUCCGUCAGACAGUAUCUGCACUGAGGACUUCCACAGAUGCUUUAGAGAAGAGAUGGUGGGACCUGCACUUUCAGAGACUAAUGUGCAUCAACUAGAUAUAGAAGAGGCUGAGGGGGCAGAGGUCACUGACAGUGACAAUGAUCAGAGUGAACAAAAAAGACAUGUGUUUAAUUUUGAGAGAGGAGGAUUAGCAUUGAUGGGAAAAAGCAAUAAAAUAACGAGUGCUCAUUAUUAUGAGUCAGAUAUGCCACAACAGAGAAAGGAACCAGAGAAAUAUCUUUCCUACCACUAUGGCUUAAAAAUAUCUCAUGGUGGUGAAAAAGCUGGAGCUAGCGAGAGAUACAAACUAGCACAGAGGAGUGACGACAAUGCUGGCAGUAAGUACUACCCUGUACAUGUUAAUUAUUCAGGAGACAACACAGGCUUUUUAAACAUUCCUCAAAUUGGACGUCAGUUUUCGCACGAGAAUUAAUGGAUAAAUUAUCCACCUGUCUGCUCAUGUGCAUGUCCAACAUUUGGAUCCACAACUGCCUAUCAGGCUGGUGUGCAAUUUAGCAGGUUAUCCACGAAGAUUAUUCUCAAUAUUUUAAGGCCUUCCUGACAUUCUCCUUCUGCCAGAAUCACUGUUAAUCACCUGGGUCCAUGCAUUAAAAUAUUUUAGUAGAAUUAUCACCUUUUAAAAUGCGCAGAAAAGGCAUAUUCUAAAGUGAUAAUACUAUUUGUUUUCAUUAGUACAAUAGUCCAUGUCACUUAUAUGACCCACAUAGGAUGGAACACCCUCAUCCAGUGUGUAACAAGCCUGGAUGACCACUCUACCAACUACUGUAACAGUGAUGCAUCCAAACAGGAAGAGAGUGAACCUCUAGGUAAAGCAAGUGUUUACUUUUGCUUCAGCAUUAAUAAAAGGUCUAUGUAGCUUUCA
ensembl:lncRNA trichohyalin-like